ensembl:lncRNA
CCAGUGUGGUGGUACACCUGUGUUGCCAACACUGCAGAGGGGGGUAUUCAAAAGUAACCACGCGUGAAUGUUUAUUUCCCAAAAUCAGUCUAUUUGACCUGCACCAGGCAAGCUCCCUCCUGCCCUUCCAGCUUGAGUCUGUGACAUCACAACUUUUUGGUAAUAGCCUAUUAAUCACCUACUGCCUGAUGCUGUGAAUUCUGUCUGGUUUCCUCCAGGAUACUUCAUCAUCUGCAAGCAGGACUUGGACCAGGCAGUGAUGCCUCCAUCCAAGCUCCUCCAGAUGCCGGUGCUCCGAGCUUUGCCAGAACUGCAUGAUUUCUGUGCGUGCCAUUAGACUGGGAUGAUGAACAGCUUGGCUGUGAACACAUGGAGUGCAAACCCUGGUGAAACCUGGCUCAUGAGCAUCCUUACUGCCGUGCAGAGCUGCCAUCUGGCAGGUUAGACCUGGUGUCCUCACUACUCCAGCUUCCCAAGCCAGCAGCUUUUUUGUUUCCUUUUAAAUGAAAACAAAUGUUAACUUCAGCCUGUGGAUGAUGCAGCCUAUGGCCACCAGCAACAUCUCUUUGUGCAGGGGAUACUGGGAUGAAGGACCUUUACUGCACACCACACAGUACCCAAAAAUAGCCCCAGCGGGUCAGCAACGUGGUGUUCGCAAGGGAAUGCAAGGAAGAAAGCGAUCCCACCUCAGGGAGCCGCCAGGCAACCAGGCUGCAGUUUGUGGUGCAAAGCUCACUACAGAGUGCUCUAUGUCAGUGGCUGCAAGUUGUGCCCAGGAUCAGCCUCCAGCUGUGCCAUAGGAUGGUUACGGCAGAAAAUAAGGAUAUUUGAGCCUGAACCAAAUUUUCUGGUAAGAAGAGCAACUGCCCCUUCUGGCUCCCCUUGUUCGUUUCCCUUCAAGACAUAAGAAUGAUCCUGGAUGUUAAAAAUGAAGACAGAAUACAGCAGCUGCUUUUGCAGCUGAGGGUAGAGAAUCCAGGCAAAGCUCACACAUGGGUUUUUGGAGGGAUCACAUUGAAGCGAGGCAGUGCCAGGGGCUGGGGCUGUGGUACACACCUUGCAGGCUGCAGUGGCAUUGAGUGAUUUUACUGCUUGCAACUCCUCCUUGAAAAAC